rnacentral:lncRNA from 1 species
UUACAAAUAAAUGAAAAAUGUCACAAUCGAUUUCACUUCUCCAAGAAUACUGUGUGUCUGUGUUGCCACAAAUUCUCUUUGUUACUCUGUUUUAGAUCUCUGGCUGGACAUCAGAAAUAGCUUUUGAUGGCAUAAAGCCUCCUUCCUGAGACCCCAGUGCCCAGAGAGACUCAUUAUUGAGCUGAGAUUGAAGGAAGUAAUUAUUUGGCAUAGUUGAUACUGGUUUGAUGCAUCAGAGACUCUUGGUUCAUCUGCUGAAGUGUGAAAAUAGUGCUGUGAACUGCAAGAUAGGAGAGAGGAAUAACAAAGCCGACAUUGGCUUUGACUGGUAGGCACCUGGAUGAGGAAUCCUGGAUCCAGAUCAUCACCCUCCUGCAACAGCAAAGACCAUCCCAUUCCACUAGGUGCAUUCAAUUUUGUAGGAAGCAGGAUAUAAAACUGGAUCACUUAUGCUGGAUCAGAAGAGUCAAACGUAUGAUUAUUUUCCACCAAACAUAUUUUCCCUACAAAAUACAAGAUCAUGAAAGGAAACCUCAAGAAAAAAAAGGAAGAACAUUAUAAGUCCUUUACACAUUUUUGAAAUACAUAUAUUGUAAAAAUGUUCUUUUCAAAACACAAUGGAAGAGCUAAUAAUUGAGAAACAAAACCAAAAAACUACAGGUACGUGUUUAAUGCAAUUUUAAGCUCAUAUUUUAUAUAUUUCAGUUUACUUAUGAGGUAUUGGUCAAUCCUAGAACCACAUACACACACACACAACCAAAAGAGGACUUAGUAGAGGUCCUUGCUUACAAAUGAAUUAAAAGAAAAGAACAGAUUUCCAAGUGGCUUUCCAAUUGACAUCAAAAACAUUAAUUAAUGUUGUAUGCCAAAGUUGCUUUGCCAUUUCCACACAGGAGGUCCUAAUUUAAAAAGCAAAUUUUUAU